rnacentral:rRNA from 1 species
UACGUAGGUGGCAAGCGUUAUCCGGAAUUAUUGGGCGUAAAGAGGGAGCAGGCGGCAGCAAAGGUCUGUGGUGAAAGCCUGAAGCUUAACUUCAGUAAGCCAUAGAAACCAGGCAGCUAGAGUGCAGGAGAGGAUCGUGGAAUUCCAUGUGUAGCGGUGAAAUGCGUAGAUAUAUGGAGGAACACCAGUGGCGAAGGCGACGAUCUGGCCUGCAACUGACGCUCAGUCCCGAAAGCGUGGGGAGCAAAUAGG